UGGGGAAUUUUGGACAAUGGGCGAAAGCCUGAUCCAGCAAUGCCGCGUGUGUGAAGAAGGCCUUCGGGUUGUAAAGCACUUUUGUCCGGAAAGAAAUCCUUGGCUCUAAUACAGUCGGGGGAUGACGGUACCGGAAGAAUAAGCACCGGCUAACUACGUGCCAGCAGCCGCGGUAAUACGUAGGGUGCAAGCGUUAAUCGGAAUUACUGGGCGUAAAGCGUGCGCAGGCGGUUUGCUAAGACCGAUGUGAAAUCCCCGGGCUCAACCUGGGAACUGCAUUGGUGACUGGCAGGCUAGAGUAUGGCAGAGGGGGGUAGAAUUCCACGUGUAGCAGUGAAAUGCGUAGAGAUGUGGAGGAAUACCGAUGGCGAAGGCAGCCCCCUGGGGCCAAUACUGACGCUCAUGCACGAAAGCGUGGGGGAGCAAAACAGGAUUAGAUACCCUGGUAGUCCACGCCCUAAACGAUGUCAACUAGUUGUUGGGGAUUCAUUUCCUUAGUAACGUAGCUAACGCGUGAAGUUGACCGCCUGGGGAGUACGGUCGCAAGAUUAAAACUUAAAUGAAUUGACGGGGUCAUAGCUGUUUCCU
rnacentral:rRNA from 1 species